rnacentral:rRNA from 1 species
GAUGAACGCUGGCGGCGUGCCUAAUACAUGCAAGUCGAGCGAACAGACGAGGAGCUUGCUCCUCUGACGUUAGCGGCGGACGGGUGAGUAACACGUGGAUAACCUACCUAUAAGACUGGGAUAACUUCGGGAAACCGGAGCUAAUACCGGAUAAUAUAUUGAACCGCAUGGUUCAAUAGUGAAAGACGGUUUUGCUGUCACUUAUAGAUGGAUCCGCGCCGCAUUAGCUAGUUGGUAAGGUAACGGCUUACCAAGGCAACGAUGCGUAGCCGACCUGAGAGGGGGAUCGGCCACACUGGAACUAAGACACGGUCCAGAAUCCUACGGGAGGCAGCAGUAGGAAAUCUUCCGCAAUGGGCGAAAGCCUGACGGAGCAACGCCGCGUGAGUGAUGAAGGUCUUCGGAUCGUAAAACUCUGUUAUUAGGGAAGAACAAAUGUGUAAGUAACUAUGCACGUCUUGACGGUACCUAAUCAGAAAGCCACGGCUAACUACGU